rnacentral:lncRNA from 1 species
UUGAGCAGUUGGGCUUUUCUUCAGAAUUUGUCAUUGAUCGCACAUUGGGUGAGGAGGCUUGACGUACUGAUUCUUGAAAGAUAGCGCUUUCAGCUUGAGAAUCUUCAGAGAGAACAAAUCUUCUGGAUCACUUCAACAGGUACAAAGAUAGCAGCAGACUGAUUGAGGAGGCUUCAAUGCAAUCCGUCACAUAAUCUUCAAUUGCAGCUUCACCUUGCUUCUGGGGUUGAAAGAUUGAAUGUUGAAAGAAUGAUCUUCAUUUCUUCCUCCUUCGAAUGAGAAUUCUUCGAUGCUCACGGACGAAGCCUUUGGCUCAGAAAUCUUCAACACAAACUCCAUGAGUCUUAUCUAUACCUGAAAUCACUAUUCAAGACCAAAACAAAACUAAAAGUAAACUUAGCACACAAAUUAAAAUAGAAACCAAAAUAUUUUUGGAUUUUUGAUUUUUCUGAACAAGAAAUAAAACAGAAAUAACACUAUUUUUGGAUUUUUAAUUUUUCUGAUUUUUCUUUGAUUUUUGAAUUUUUUUUUAUUUUUUUAUUUUUUUCAAUUUUCUUUAUUAUUAUUAAUUUUUAAUUCUCCCCUAAUAUUUAAAUUAGAAGAAACUAUGAAAAAUUUAACAAAAAUAAAAAGGAUAUCUAACUUUAAGAGUGAUUUGGGAUCAAAGUUUUUAGACAGCCUUUAUCCACUUGUCGGUACCUUCUAUCUUCACGUCUUUGUCUGGUCGAUCGCCGGUAUUGUGGUCCACUUAAACACAAAAAAUUGUGACAAAUUUAGGACAUACUAUUUGUUACAAGACAAGGUGAACUUAAGUUCCUAAAAAUUAUAUCUGAUCCUAAUUCCUUAAAUACUAUAUCUUAAGGACCAUUCAUCUGACGACGACCAGGGAUAUUGUUGUCCACCUAAUUUGAGCAGCGAGAUCUACAGAUAAUCUGUAUGAGUUCAAUUUUAAGUGUACUGGAACGUGUUUCCCGCUUCCUGAUAUGCCCCAACCAUCAAGAACUUCCAUAGUACUCCUUACACCGGGUGAGCAGACAACCAUUCAGAGAGAGAAGAGAUUCAGAAUUCUAUUGCUAACUACUUCAGAGGGGUUGAGAAGAAGAAGGUUGCAUAUGCUGUGUACCAGGUCGGAUUAGAAGUCGCGCAAAGGAGACAGCAUAUGGCUAACAGAUGAGAAGUAUUUCACACAUAUAUUUCACACACAUAUAUAUAUCCUGCAGAGAAAUAGAGUUGCAUAUGUUGUGUACCAGGUCGGAUUGGAAGUCACGCAAAGGAGACAACAUAUGACUAACAGACGGAAAGAAAGAAAAUGAUAUUCUACAGACCUAAUUUAUCGGAAUUUACCAGUCGCCCCAUCCAACCGGAAUUAAGGACAGAAUCCGCACAUCGAGGAAAAGUUAAACCACGGUUCCAAGUACGGGUUCAAUUAAUGUGACGAGUAGAUUCCCAUAUAUAUCUCCCUGCUCAACCUAUCCGAGCGUCGUAUUGUCAGGCUGAAUGUAUCUAACUAGGUCAAGGUUUAUCAAGUCUAUAAAUUUCCUAAGUUCAACUCUCCCUAGUCAAGUCCAUUUUAAAAAAAUUUCGUGCCUACCGAUGCAUCAAGUCAGAGCAUAGACCCUUCAACUUCGGGUACGUUACGCAGAAUCAGGUUGCCUGUUAUCACUUGCUAAUUUCAUUUCCCAAAACAUCUCCCUCAAGCACAUUUCAUAACCAACAUUUUUUGAUUUUUUUAUUUUCUAAUGUUUUUGGGUUUUUUUAUAUUAUUUUUUUUUAAAUUAAAAUUUUCUAAUUUUUGUUUUGUUUUUAUUUCUCCCCCUAAAUUUGUGCAUAGGAGAGAAACGAAAGUAAAUGCGCAAAUUUAAACUAUCCUAAAACAAAAAUUAGUCUUUAAAGCGAAUCAGGUUAAGAAAAAACUUAGGAGUAGAAGAAAACACAAACCGUAAGUCACCGAUUGAAGUUGCAUCCAGAAAGUCUGAGAAUAGCACGCGUAAUCUCAGAACAGAUCCGAAAAUUCUUCAUGUCAUUAAGCACAAACCCCAUGUGAUCCCUUCCUUUCUUCAUUUCCCGCAAAAGGACACAUACUCUCAAACAAAGGUCUGAAUGUUGUACAGUUGAGAGAUGUCCCUUAUCAUGUGUCAGGAACAGCCACUACCAACAAACCGAAGUUUGAUGAUAUGCCUCCAUAGCUGCUUCGACACAGAGCGGGAUUAGCUGGUCUUUGGAACCCAGUCCAUUUUGAAACUGGGUCGACCUUUGUCAUCAACACACAAAACUUUCUCCCAUGACAUAUCCUGCUUAUCACAAACAGAAGAUGUAGAAACAUUAGAGUCGUUAGUUGAUUUAGGAGAUUGAGCCUUUGGAACCCAUUUGUAGUUGGGUUUAACCCAUUUCUUUUUCGAUCCGAUGGGUGCCUCGGCACUUGAUUUGGAACUUGAAGCCGUCUGCCUAGAUGACUUUGAUCUAACCGGUCUUGGUUUCAUAGGAUCAUCUCUUGAACUAGACUUCUGGGCCUGCAUUCCCUUCUUGCCCUUAGGAUUCAGAUUCUUUGCCUUGUAGGUUUGAUUCUUGGCCUUGUGUGCGUUCCAAUCACCAUUCCAGGUCACGAUCAAACGGAUGAUGUCAAAUAAAAUAAAAGAAAAGGAGAAGAAGAAGAUGUUGAAUUUCUAUAUAAAUUGAUUAGAAUUAAAGCUCCAGAUACAAAAGAUUCACACAAAAUGCUCUCUGGCCGUAAACUCACUAGGGUUCAUCCAUCUCUACUCCACACCCUAACACCUCUAUUUAUACUUGUAGAACAUGGGCCGGAAACAAAUGGGCCGUAAAUGAGUUUACGGUCGUAAGGUGUUUACGGCCGUAAACUCAGCCGUAAACUAGACCCAACAAUCUCCCCCUUGGUUUAUAGCUUUNUAAUUGCCCAGAAAAGUAAAGUAUAAACCAUAUUUUGACCCAACAAUCUCCCCCUAAAAAGUAGUUGGCUUUCUUGAUAACCUUCAUUGGGAACUUGGCUUCAACAUUUAUCUUCAAUGAAUGACUUCGUCUUGAGCAGUUGAGCUUUUCUUCAGAAUUUGUCAUUGAUCGCACAUUGGGUGAGGAGGCUUGACGUACUGAUUCUUGAAAGAUAGCGCUUUCAGCUUGAGAAUCUUCAGAGAGAACUUCAGAGAGAACAAAUCUUCUAGAUCACUUCAACAGGUACAAAGAUAGCAGCAGACUGAUUGAGGAGGCUUCAAUGCAAUCCGUCACAUAAUCUUCAAUUGCAGCUUCACCUUGCUUCUGGGGUUGAAAGAUUGAAUGUUGAAAGAAUGAUCUUCAAUUCUUGCUCCUUCGAAUGAGAAUUCUUCGAUGCUCACGGACGAAGCCUUUGGCUCAGAAAU